rnacentral:rRNA from 1 species
UACGUAGGGGGCAAGCGUUGUCCGGAUUUAUUGGGCGUAAAGAGCGUGUAGGCGGUUUGGUAGGUCCGCUGUGAAAACUCGAGGCUCAACCUGGAGACGCCACCCGAUACUGCUGUGGCUUGAGUCCGGUAGGGGAGCGUGGAAUUCCUGGUGUAGCGGUGAAAUGCGCAGAUAUCAGGAGGAACACCAGCGGCGAAGGCGGCGCUCUGGGCCGGAACUGACGCUGAGGAGCGAAAGCGUGGGUAGCAAACAGG